CUUGCUUCUCUUGAGAGCGGCGGACGGGUGAGUAAUGCCUAGGAAUCUGCCUGGUAGUGGGGGAUAACGUUCGGAAACGGACGCUAAUACCGCAUACGUCCUACGGGAGAAAGCAGGGGACCUUCGGGCCUUGCGCUAUCAGAUGAGCCUAGGUCGGAUUAGCUAGUUGGUGGGGUAAUGGCUCACCAAGGCGACGAUCCGUAACUGGUCUGAGAGGAUGAUCAGUCACACUGGAACUGAGACACGGUCCAGACUCCUACGGGAGGCAGCAGUGGGGAAUAUUGGACAAUGGGCGAAAGCCUGAUCCAGCCAUGCCGCGUGUGUGAAGAAGGUCUUCGGAUUGUAAAGCACUUUAAGUUGGGAGGAAGGGUUGUAGAUUAAUACUCUGCAAUUUUGACGUUACCGACAGAAUAAGCACCGGCUAACUCUGUGCCAGCAGCCGCGGUAAUACAGAGGGUGCAAGCGUUAAUCGGAAUUACUGGGCGUAAAGCGCGCGUAGGUGGUUUGUUAAGUUGGAUGUGAAAUCCCCGGGCUCAACCUGGGAACUGCAUUCAAAACUGACUGACUAGAGUAUGGUAGAGGGUGGUGGAAUUUCCUGUGUAGCGGUGAAAUGCGUAGAUAUAGGAAGGAACACCAGUGGCGAAGGCGACCACCUGGACUAAUACUGACACUGAGGUGCGAAAGCGUGGGGGAGCAAACAGGAUUAGAUACCCUGGUAGUCCACGCCGUAAACGAUGUUCAACUAGGCCGUUGGAAGCCUUGAGCUUUUUAGUGGCGCAGCUUAACGCAU
rnacentral:rRNA from 1 species